rnacentral:rRNA from 1 species
CCCUUAGAUGUUCUGGGCUGCACGCGCGCUACACUGACAUGUCCAGCGAGCUCCCAACCUGCUCGGCAAAGAAUGGGUACCCUUUUUAACGCAUGUCGUGAUGGGGAUAGAUUAUUGCAAUUGUUGAUCUUGAACGAGGAAUUCCUAGUAAGUGCAAGUCAUUAGCUUGUGCUGAAUACGUCCCUGCCCUUUGUACACACCGCCCGUCGCUCCUACCGAUUGGAUGGUCCGGUGAAGCCUCGGGAUUGUGGUUCUUGCCGCUUUAUUGUGGCGUGACCGCGAGAACUUGUCUAAACCUUAUCAUCUAGAGGAAGGUGAAGUCGUAACA